rnacentral:rRNA from 1 species
UACAGAGGGUGCAAGCGUUGUUCGGAAUUAUUGGGCGUAAAGCGCGUGUAGGCGGCCAGAAAAGUUGGGUGUGAAAGCCCUCGGCUUAACCGAGAAAGUGCGCCCAAAACUGUUUGGCUUGAGUACCGGAGAGGAUGGUGGAAUUCCCGGUGUAGAGGUGAAAUUCGUAGAUAUCGGGAGGAACACCAGUGGCGAAGGCGACCAUCUGGACGGAUACUGACGCUGAGACGCGAAAGCGUGGGUAGCAAACAGG